AUUGAACGCUGGCGGCAUGCCUUACACAUGCAAGUCGAACGGUAACGGGCCUUCGGGUGCCGACGAGUGGCGAACGGGUGAGUAAUGCAUCGGAACGUACCUUUCAGUGGGGGAUAACGUAGCGAAAGUUACGCUAAUACCGCAUAUUCCGUGAGCAGGAAAGCAGGGGAUCGCAAGACCUUGCGCCGAUUGAGCGGCCGAUGUCAGAUUAGCUAGUUGGUGAGGUAAAGGCUGACCAAGGCGACGAUCUGUAGCGGGUCUGAGAGGAUGAUCCGCCACACUGGGACUGAGACACGGCCCAGACUCCUACGGGAGGCAGCAGUGGGGAAUUUUGGACAAUGGGGGCAACCCUGAUCCAGCCAUGCCGCGUGAGUGAAGAAGGCCUUCGGGUUGUAAAGCUCUUUCGGCCGGGAAGAAAUCGCACAGGCUAAUACCUUGUGUGGAUGACGGUACCGGAAUAAGAAGCACCGGCUAACUACGUGCCAGCCGCCGCAGUAAAAC
rnacentral:rRNA from 1 species